GACGAACGCUGGCGGCGUGCUUAACACAUGCAAGUCGAACGGAAAGGCCCUGCUUUUGUGGGGUGCUCGAGUGGCGAACGGGUGAGUAACACGUGAGUAACCUGCCCUUGACUUUGGGAUAACUUCAGGAAACUGGGGCUAAUACCGGAUAGGAGCUCCUGCUGCAUGGUGGGGGUUGGAAAGUUUCGGCGGUUGGGGAUGGACUCGCGGCUUAUCAGCUUGUUGGUGGGGUAGUGGCUUACCAAGGCUUUGACGGGUAGCCGGCCUGAGAGGGUGACCGGCGACAUUGGGACUGAGAUACGGCCCAGACUCCUACGGGAGGCAGCAGUGGGGAAUAUUGCACAAUGGGCGGAAGCCUGAUGCAGCAACGCCGCGUGCGGGAUGACGGCCUUCGGGUUGUAAACCGCUGUCGCCUGUGACGAAGCGUGAGUGACGGUAAUGGGUAAAGAAGCACCGGCUAACUACGUG
rnacentral:rRNA from 1 species